rnacentral:lncRNA from 1 species
CACCUCAGCAUCUACCAGAAUAUAGGAAGCAAACAGCACGCACCAGCCUCAUAAAAGGAUAUGCAUGUUUAAGCUCCAAUACUAUAUCUAUAAAGUAGAUAAAAAAUAGAAAGCUAUUGAUAACUCACUUUCUAGACUUGAAACAAAAGAACUCUCCCAGCAAAUUUGUCUUAUCUUUUAAAAGAUCUACUGUUUCAAGAGGACAUCUCACGACUUCUUUAGAUGACUGUCUUCUCUACUCAUCUAUUCACUUAAACUGCUACUUAGGAAUUUCUCUCGUUCAUAGAUCUUGAAACCAUAUCAACAUCACUUACUCAGUAUCAUUUCCUAAUAGAUCUAUGAUAGAAAGAUCUAGACAUGGACUUCAUAUCUAGUCUAGAUAUAGGAGGACCAACUUUGUUGCAACAACAAAAGCACCACGUUGUCCCUAUAAUGUUAUCUGACAAUGUAACCUGAG